rnacentral:rRNA from 1 species
AUUGAACGCUGGCGGCAGGCUUAACACAUGCAAGUCGAGCGGGGGAGGUUGCUUCGGUAACUGACCUAGCGGCGGACGGGCGAGUAAUGCUUAGGAAUCUGCCUAUUAGUGGGGGACAACGUUCCGAAAGGGAUGCUAAUACCGCAUACGCCCUACGGGGGAAAGCAGGGGAUCUUCGGACCUUGCGCUAAUAGAUGAGCCUAAGUCGGAUUAGCUAGUUGGUGGGGUAAAGGCCUACCAAGGCGACGAUCUGUAGCGGGUCUGAGAGGAUGAUCCGCCACACUGGGACUGAGACACGGCCCAGACUCCUACGGGAGGCAGCAGUGGGGAAUAUUGGACAAUGGGCGGAAGCCUGAUCCAGCCAUGCCGCGUGUGUGAAGAAGGCCUUUUGGUUGUAAAGCACUUUAAGCGAGGAGGAGGCUCUUAAGGUUAAUACCCUUGAUGAGUGGACGUUACUCGCAGAAUAAGCACCGGCUAACUCUGUGCCAGCCGCCGCCGUAAAAC